ACGAGUAUGCCUAUGUUUCUCUUAUCGUUCUUUCAAGUCCCAGUUGGUGUUAGGAAAAGACUGGACUUUUAUCGAUCGCGUUUCUUUUGGCAGGGUGAUGAGCUAAAAAGAAAGUACAGACUUGCAAAAUGGGAUAUAAUCUGUAGACCGAAAGAUCAAGGGGGUCUUGGUAUUGAGAAUCUUGAAGUUAAGAACAGAUGCCUUCUUAGCAAGUGGCUGUGGAAGCUUUCUUUUGAGACUGAUGCUAUGUGGGCCCAAAUCCUUCGCAGCAAGUACCUACAGACAAAAUCCUUGUCCCAGGUCACAGUAAGGCCAACUGACUCGCCUUUCUGGAGAGGCCUGAUGAAAGUCAAACAAUCUAUGUUUAAUAGGACAAAGGUUGUUAUUGGCAACGGUGCUAGUACACGAUUCUGGGAGGAUACUUGGCUUGGCGAGACACCCUUGGCCAUUCAAUAUCCGUCUUUAUAUCGCAUUGUUCAACGACGUGAGGUAUUCGUUGCUACGGUGUUUCAAUCCAUCCCCCUUAAUAUUCAAUUCAGACGGUCGUUAGUGGGCAAUCGUUGGGAAGAUUGGCUCCGUCUAGUUCGGAGACUAAUGGAUGUCCAUCUUUCUCAACAACCCGAUGAAUUACGCUGGAAACUGACUAGGUCUGGAGUAUUCACGGUGAAAUCAAUGUAUAUUGAUGUAAUUAAUUCGAGCUCCAUUCCUACCUCCAAGCAUGUUUGGACUGUCAAAGUUCCUUUGAAAAUAAAAGUGUUUAUGUGGUUU
rnacentral:rRNA from 1 species